rnacentral:lncRNA from 1 species
AUGCUGGCUCACUCAUUGUCUCCCUGUGUGGGCAGUGGACUGCCGGGCACGCAGGACAUGGAGCAGCUCAACAGAGUUAUCUGCCAGCAGCUCUUCAGUGACAAGCCAGUGAGCUCAAGUGGAAGAUGGAUGGGUGAUUUUGCUUUUCAGGCCCCAAAGCAAAGUAGACUUGGCAAGGAGUAAGGGUCACCAUUAAAACAAUCCAUGUUUGCAGGGGUGACACAUUUUGUCAUUUGUAAAUGUCUUCCAGUUUGGAGGGAAACGUAAGGAAAUUCUCUGGAAGAUGUUUUGAAGUUUAAUUAAAGCACAGUUUGAAAACAUAUCCCUUGUGCUUUGCACUUGUAAAUGUGAGCGUAUCAGGAACUUGCACAGAGAUGUGAAUGUUCUCAUCCUGAUGUUGGGUAGCUCUGGUUGGGACCUGUGUCUAUUAAUCUUCUGACAAAAUAGCAGUGUGCCUCUUUGUGCACAACUGGACCUUGUGCGUAACGUCUGUGCGGUAUAUUCAUAGGAUGGAAACCUGAUAUUUUAAAUUCUCCUCACUUCCUCUGGGAGGUUGCUGUAUACUCAGCAUAAACCCUUGCUUCUUGCACUUUCAGGGCUGGAAAAGUUCCUAGUAAACCAGAAGCUGAAAAACAAAGGUCACUCUGGUGAAUGGUUGAUAACUUGGGGCAGUUAGUCAUUCUCUGAGCUUCUUGUUGUUGGAAUAAGAGAAUGGCAUGACACGGGAGUCUGAAAUACUCAAAACUCUGAUCCAUCUCCUACGUCCAGCAGACUUUUUGCUUAACUCUGCUUUUCAGUUCAUUCAUCCAGAAACUGAAAGAACUUUUAAGUUCUGUUCAAUGAACAUUUCUUGAGCACCUGCUAUGUACUAAUGCUGUUAUCUAGUGUUGGAUGAUAUACAUUGACUAAGACAAUGUUCCUGCCCUCAAUAAGUUCACAGAAUAAUUAGGGAAGUAACAUUGGCAACUUGGAAGUAACAGUACUUCUCUUAAGGAGUUGACCCAGGACACCUGAUAGUAUAAUUCAGUGAAGUAAUACCUUCAGCCUUAGGAAUCUUCGUAGCUACCAGUAUUUAAC